ACCCGCUGAACUUAAGCAUAUCAAUAAGCGGAGGAAAAGAAACUAACAAGGAUUCCCCUAGUAACGGCGAGUGAAGCGGGAAGAGCUCAAAUUUGAAAUCUGGUAGCCUUCGGUUGCCCGAGUUGUAAUCUAGAGAAGUGUUUUCCGCGUUGGCCCAUGUACAAGUCCCUUGGAACAGGGCGUCAUAGAGGGUGAGAAUCCCGUCCUUGACAUGGACCCCCAAUGCUUUGUGAUACACUUUCAACGAGUCGAGUUGUUUGGGAAUGCAGCUCAAAAUGGGUGGUGAAUUCCAUCUAAAGCUAAAUAUUGGCGAGAGACCGAUAGCGAACAAGUACCGUGAGGGAAAGAUGAAAAGCACUUUGGAAAGAGAGUUAAACAGUACGUGAAAUUGUUGAAAGGGAAACGAUUGAAGUCAGUCAUGCUCUUUGGAUUAAGCCGUUCUGCGGUGUAUUUCAUUGAGCGGGGUCAACAUCAGUUUUGAUCGCUGGAAAAGGGCAGGAGGAAGGUAGCACUCUCGGGUGAACUUAUAGCCUCUUGUCGUAUACAGUGAUUGGGACUGAGGAACGCAGCAUGCCUUUUGGCCGGGAUUCGUCCACGUACAUGCUUAGGAUGUUGACAUAAUGGCUUU
rnacentral:rRNA from 1 species